rnacentral:rRNA from 1 species
UACGUAGGGGGCUAGCGUUGUCCGGAUUUAUUGGGCGUAAAGAGCGUGUAGGCGGCCAGGUAGGUCUGGUGUGAAAACUCGAGGCUCAACCUCGAGACGUCGGUUGAAACCGUACGGCUAGAGUCCGGAAGAGGAGAGUGGAAUUCCCGGUGUAGCGGUGAAAUGCGCAGAUAUCGGGAAGAACACCCGUGGCGAAGGCGGCUCUCUGGGACGGUACUGACGCUGAGACGCGAAAGCGUGGGGAGCGAACAGG